UACGUAGGGGGCAAGCGUUGUCCGGAUUUAUUGGGCGUAAAGAGCGUGUAGGCGGCCAAGUAAGUCUGCUGUGAAAACUCGAGGCUUAACCUCGAGCUGUCGGCGGAAACUAUUUGGCUAGAGUCCGGAAAAGGAGAAUGGAAUUCCCGGUGUAGCGGUGAAAUGCGCAGAUAUCGGGAAGAACACCCGUGGCGAAGGCGGUUCUCUGGGACGGUACUGACGCUGAGACGCGAAAGCGUGGGGAGCGAACAGG
rnacentral:rRNA from 1 species